rnacentral:rRNA from 1 species
AAUAGAUACCCGGGUAGUCCACGCCGUAAACGAUGAGUGCUAAGUGUUAGAGGGUUUCCGCCCUUUAGUGCUGAAGUUAACGCAUUAAGCACUCCGCCUGGGGAGUACGGCCGCAAGGCUGAAACUCAAAGGAAUUGACGGGGGCCCGCACAAGCGGUGGAGCAUGUGGUUUAAUUCGAAGCAACGCGAAGAACCUUACCAGGUCUUGACAUCCUCUGAUAACCCUAGAGAUAGGGCUUCUCCUUCGGGAGCAGAGUGACAGGUGGUGCAUGGUUGUCGUCAGCUCGUGUCGUGAGAUGUUGGGUUAAGUCCCGCAACGAGCGCAACCCUUGAUCUUAGUUGCCAUCAUUAAGUUGGGCACUCUAAGGUGACUGCCGGUGACAAACCGGAGGAAGGUGGGGAUGACGUCAAAUCAUCAUGCCCUUAUGACCUGGGCUACACACGUGCUACAAUGGACGGUACAAAGAGCUGCAAGACCGCGAGGUGGAGCUAAUCUCAUAAAAACCGUUCUCAGUUCGGAUUGUAGG